CUUAAACCAAUGAUUGAGCACCUGGUGGGAAGGCAGGGCCAACAAAGGGGAGCUCAGCUGUAUGCAAUGCAACUGAGUGACUGGAAGGGGUGGGACCAGGAUUCACCCCCUCCCAGACUUCAUUUAAGGGUUGGCAGUGGAAGCAGAGACAUAUUGCUGGAGAUCUCUGUGUAUCUAAGGCUUUCUGAAGAAACAGAAGUAUUUUUCAAAGAGAAGGCACUGCUCAGAGGGGUGGACUUCUGUUUGCUGUGGACCAUCUCAGACCUCAGUUUAACUCUUCCUGAGUAUCCAUAGCUCCAGAGGCAGUGAGGCUGCUCAUUCAAGCUGCUGUUGCAGAACGUGCAGUGUAACCAAACAGCAACAAAAAUCAGGAUCUUUGAUAUCACUGGAGUACAUCAGCAACUGAAAAUAAAGAGCGAGAUGCUUGGCAUGGGGGUGCACACAACCUGUUACAAGUCUUUUCACACAGGGCCAGGUGCCACAGGGAAAGCCGGGAGAGAAACAACCGUUCACUGUGGACAAAGCUAUAAGACUGCAUUCCUGCCUGGAAAACCUCUGCAACUACAGUCAAGUGACAACACCUUUCCGUUGAAGCAGUUUCACACGUGCCAGAAACUGCUACACAAUGCCAUAAGCAGCAAAGAAGCUGAGCAGGAGGUGACUUGAAACAGUUUCAGUACAGUAUGCAUCCUGGCAGAAAUUCCUGAAUAACGUUACAGAGUUGCUGUGGCUCAUGCUGGAGCUAUCUUUCCUUCGAUGACGAGGGACGUAAUCCAUCUGCAUCCCAACUGGACUGCGAGGAUUAAUUAACGUUCACAAUGGGCUAUGAGUUCCUUGCAUGCUAUUGAAGUGGAAAUUAUUAUUUGUUACAGCCAGUCUGAAUGCCAUAUGGGAUUUCCACGUCAGGGUUUCAGCUCUGUUGUGCAUCAACAAGCUUGAACUGGUACCAUGAAGAAAAGAUUAGCAUUACAUUUCGUUGUUGUGUAUUUGGUGCUGCGUCUACCUAAGGACAAAUAUUUCCUGAGAAGCAGAGCUCUGCAAAACUGAACUCCAUGGUCUUUUCUGUAGCUCAAAGCCUGCAACAUCCCUUUCCAUCUGCUGCGCUUCUACUCUGGUACGGGCUGAAGCCACAGAGUAGUGGAUUCCUUGGAACUUCUCAGCCAUGUUUGUUUGUUAUUGCCUUCAAGUCAGCUUUGGGAGUCUGUGCAAGAAAUAAAGGUAGAAUCUGGCUCUGCAUUUUGCAACAGAUGCUUUUCCCCAUGUAGUAGAUUUGUACCUUUGUGCUACUUCAGGGACUGAGUAAAAUGGACUCAUCAUGCCUGAAACUCAAGUCAGAGAUGUGUGAUGCAUAGCCAUUCCACAAUAUUCUUCUAUGCUUGCAACACCUACAAAAUAGAACCUAAAACGUACUUUGCUAGUUUGCAGGGGCAAAUGAAUUUGUUACUUUGCUUCUAUGCAUCAGCUUUAGUUUAGCUUAGAGCGCAUUUUAAAACACUCCUGUGACAUCAGUCCUUGCAAGCCCUUACAAACAAACCAGUUUUAAAUGAGUGUGGGAAUUCCUGCAGUAUUAUGACAGACACUCAUCACUGACAGAGGAAACAAAUAAAAUCUAAUUGCCCAGUUUGCUUGUGAGGGUUCCCUGGAAAAGAUCAGCCAUCAAACAGUUUGAAAUUAGCUUCCUAGCUGAAGGAUUCUCUUUUGUUUCUCACACAAAUAAACGGGGAUGCUUGGCUUUCCAAAACAGGCACUGUUAAAGAGAUACAAGUAUAGAGUUCUCACCACAUACAUUUUAUAUAUAUAUAUAUAUAUAUUAACAUUUAGCUGGCAGGUUUCAGUUUUAUAGGUAAGACUCCAAUUCUGAUCACUAAACACAUGCCAAAAGUUAGAUGCAAUCCCAAUGAGCUUCUUGCACACCCACACCCCUGUAGCGUUAUUCUUCUCAACCUUCUAAGCAUCCCCUCCGAUUUUGUGAACAACCACAAAGCAUGUUUGGCAGUAAUUCUGCUGUAACUGCUCUUCUGUGAGGAUGUUACAACAGAUCAGUUGAAAGCAAAGUUAAAUACAACGAAAGUAAAUACAAAACAGUAUCAAAGCAAAAGAUGUAGGGGUGUAGGAAAAACAAACAAACAUAAUGUCAGGAAAAAAAAAGACAGGUUUGGAGAUGAGAGAUUAUGGGAGUGAUGCAAGAAGAACAGGGAUGGAUAGAGAAGGGACUAGGAAUGAAAAUAAAAGAAUGACACAGGAGAAACUGACAUCAACGUUUUUAUUACAAGAUAAGUGCAAGUUACUGUCAUUAUAGCUUCUCUAAUUAUCUUUCAACCUUUUUUUUUUUCAAUAUAUAUAUACAUGAUGUCCAUAUGUUGCAAAUAACAGGGUUUUAUGACUUUUGUUCUCUCACCUUUCCCAUAGCUUACAUUCCAUUUUAAUUGCUACACUGAUAUCAGAUGCUUCACUUAAUGAUCUUGCACCAGUGCUCCCUAUUUGUGGUGAUAACGCUCUUGGGGGAGCAAAACCACCUGCCUCGUGGUUGUAGGCUACGUGCUGUUCUCGUGGACGUCCACUAGAUGGCAAAGCCGGUAUUUUUGUUGAGUUUACAUGCCACCUUCAGCUAAUAACUAACCCUAGGGUAUGUGCACAGGCUAAAAAUGGCGAUUAAAGGACACCGAAUGGUGUCUCCGUGGAAAAGAGUGUAUUUCCUAGGGUUAAUAACAAAACAGGAGAAUGAAAGACUCAGUUAUAAAAUGGUGAUGCUCUCAGGAAAGCACAGUGUUCUCUCUAUUCUCU
ensembl:lncRNA